UAGUCCACCAUCUUCCAAUUUGCUAGCUCAUCACUUAAUAAAAUGCCCUUUCUUUGCCACCAUCUUGCCUCCUGAUGGAUUGGCUUUUGUCUUUUGGUGAGCAGAUCAUGCCCUUUGCGUAGUAACAGAAAUUGGCAAUGACGAUGGGAUCUAUAAGUCUGCCUGCAGCCAGCCAACUUCGGGGGAAAUUCUUGGGAAAGUCCCUAGCAGCUGCUGAGGCUCUCUUUGCCUUGGGGGUGGGUCCUGUUGGUUUCCCUCCACUGCCAGCUGUCUCCAAUGCUUCCUAUAGUGGAAAGAGAAAUGGCUACUUCUAGAAGGUCAACAGGCUCAUGGCUGGAGUAGGAUGUAUUUCAUCUUCAGAGAGAUUCAAGGAGAGGACUCCAACACUUACUCUAGAAGACAGAUUUCUGAUAAACUUUCAGAUCAUAAAAGUGAACUGGAUGAGGAAACUGAAGCUCCCGGGCCGAAGACCAACUCUGUGAAUUACAAGAAGUUUGGGAACUGCCUUGUCUUCGACUUAUGUGAGAUGCUCAAAAAAGAUAGAAUGGCAGCUCUUACCUGUUAAAA
rnacentral:lncRNA from 1 species